rnacentral:rRNA from 1 species
AUUGAACGCUGGCGGCAGGCCUAACACAUGCAAGUCGAGCGGAAGAAGGGAGCUUGCUCCUGGCUUCAGCGGAGGACGGGUGAGUAAUGCCUAGGAAUAUGCCUGGUAGGGGGGGAUAACGUCCGGAAACGGGCGCUAAUACCGCAUACGUCCUGGGGGAAAGCGUGGGGGAUCUUCGGAAUUCACGCUAUCAGAUGAGCCUAGGUCGGAUUAGCUAGUUGGUGGGGUAAAGGCCUACCAAGGCGACGAUCCGUAACUGGUCUGAGAGGAUGAGCAGUCACACUGGAACUGAGACACGGUCCAGACUCCUACGGGAGGCAGCAGUGGGGAAUAUUGGACAAUGGGCGAAAGCCUGAUCCAGCCAUGCCGCGUGUGUGAAGAAGGUCUUCGGAUUGUAAAGCGCUUUAAGUUGGGAGGAAGGGCAGUAAGUUAAUACCUUGCUGUAUUGACGUUACCUACAGAAUAAGCACCGGCUAACUUCGUG